rnacentral:rRNA from 1 species
UACGUAGGUCCCGAGCGUUGUCCGGAUUUAUUGGGCGUAAAGGGAACGCAGGCGGUCCUUUAAGUCUGAUGUGAAAGCCUUCGGCUUAACCGGAGUAGUGCAUUGGAAACUGGGAGACUUGAGUGCAGAAGAGGAGAGUGGAACUCCAUGUGUAGCGGUGAAAUGCGUAGAUAUAUGAAGAACACCAGUGGCGAAAGCGGCUCUCUGGUCUGUAACUGACGCUGAGGUUCGAAAGCGUGGGUAGCAAACAGG